CGCAGACUGGUUGUCUCUGAAGAAAUAGAUGAAGUUUCCUUUUAAAUGAAAAGGUUUAAAUUUUUGUAAAAGACGAGAAGACCCUGCCGAGCUGAAUUAAGUUGGAAAUUCUUAGGUACGAAGUACUGAGUUUCUAACUAAAAUGUAGUUGGGGAGAGCUAAGCUUAAAAGAAUAGGUUUAAUUAUUAGACACAGAUCCUCUCAGAGAGAAAGUUGGUAAAAGCUACCGCAGGGAUAACAGCGUAAUUUUUCUUGAGAGAUCGUAUUGAGGGAAAAGUUUGCGACC
rnacentral:rRNA from 1 species